ensembl:lncRNA
CAACUACCGACUCUUCCCUCAGCCCCAGAAGCCGCCAUCCCACCUUCUGUCUCUGUGGAUCUGGAUACGCCAGACAAGGGCACAGACACACAAGGACAGAGGUGACAUGACUGACGUCUCAGCACAGAAGUGGCCAGACCUGUAUUCUCACGGACUUCAUGCUGUUUAAAGACAAUGGUGAUGGGACAGCUUUCGGAGUCAAACAGAAAAGAAUGGACUCCACAACACCUGGACUCCAUGAUUUAUUAUAUGCGUUGCAACAUAUACAGGCAUACCUCAUUUUACUGCAUUUCACUUUAUUGUAUUUUUUACAAAUUGAAGAUUUGUAGCAACCUCCCGUGGACCAAGCCUAUCAAUGUCAUUUUUCCAACAUCAUUUUCCCACUUUGUGUCUCUGUGUCAUAUUAUAGUAAUUCUUGCAAUAUUUCAGACUUUUUCAUUACUAUUGAUAUGUUUGUUACAGUGAUCAGUGAUCGUUAAUGUUACUACAAUGAUUUGCUGAAGGUUUGUAGAUUAUCACAAUUUGCAG